GAGAAAAUAUCUUUUAUCUUGUAGGAUGGUAGAAAUAGUAUCACAUACUACUCUUAAGAUAACUUAUAAACUUAUAAAAAUUUGUUCUAGCACAAACUUAUAUAUAUCAACCUUUUUAACAUAAGCUGGGCAACAUGCCUCUUUCCAUAUCUUAUAUGAAGUGCUAGUAACAGAUUUUGUUAGUAUCUAAUUCAAAAAAAUAUAUAGCAAUUUCUAGGAU
rnacentral:lncRNA from 1 species